GGAUGAACGCUAGCAAUAUACUUAACACAUGCUAGUCAAUGGUAUUUUAUAUACUUUGGCGUACAGGUGCGUAAAAAGCAGAGAUCUACCUUAUAGUUUGGAUCCAAAAUCCCAAAUAGUUAUAAAGAUUAAAUAUCGCUAUAAGAUGAGUUUGCAUAAAAUUAGGUAGUUGGUAAGGUAAAAGCUUACCAAGCUGAUGAUUUUUAGUUGAUCUGAGAGGAUGAUCAGCCACAUUGGGACUGAGAUAAGGCCCAAGCAAUUUUGCCAGCAGUGGGGAAUAUUGGACAAUGAACGAAAGUUUGAUCCAGUAAUAUUGCGUUAAUGAGGACAGCAUUAAAGAUUUGGUGUAAAAGCCAAAUUGGCUGUAAAGUUAUUUCGUUAGUGAGGAAAAUGACUGUAACUAAAGAAGAAGCUCCGGCUAACUUCGUGCCAGCAGCCGCGGUAAUACGAAGGGAGCGAGCGUUAUCCAGAAUGAUUGGGCGUAAAGGGUUCGUAGGUUGAUAGUGUAGUUUUGUGUAAAAGUUUGAAUUAAAUCAAAAACGNACAAAAUACUCAAUAUCUAGAGUAAAUUAGAGGAUAAUAGAAUUUUAUAUGGAGGAGUAAAANNNNNUGAUCUAUAAAGGAAUGCCAGUGGCGAAAGCGAUUAUCUGGGAUAUUACUGACACUGAGGAACGAAAGCGUAGGUAGCAAACAGGAUUAGAUACCCUGGUAGUCUACGCUGUCAAAUAUGAAUGCUAAAACAUAGAAUACUUUAUGUUUAUAGUUAACACGUUAAGCAUUCCGCCUGGGAAGUACGAUCGCAAGAUUGGACCCCAAAGGAAUUGACGGGGAUCUACACAAGUGGUGGAGCAUGUGGUUUAAUGCGAUAAUACGCGCGAAAUCUUACCAGUUCUUGAAUAUAAUAUUAAAUUUUAAUAAAAGUUAAAAUUGUUAAAAAUAUUGUAUAUUGAAAAUAUUAUACAGGUGUUGCAUGGCUGUCGUCAGCUCGUGCUGUGAAGUGUUUGGUUAAGUCCUUUAACGAGCGCAACUCUUAUUUUAUGUUGAUAAAUUUUUAAAGAAAUUUAAAAGUAUAACUCAUAAAAGAUGAUCAGUGAUAAACUGAUGGAAGCUGAGAACGACGUCAAGCCCUUAUGGCCCUUAUGGACUGGGCUACACACGUGCUACAAAGAUAGUUACAACGAGUUAUACAAAUAAAGCGAUUUAAAGUAAAUCUCUAAAAACUAUCGUGUUCGGAUUGUAAACUGCAACUCGUUUACAUGAAGUUGGAAUCACAAGUAAUCGCAAAUCAUCAUGUUGCGGUGAAUUUUGUACUUAGAUC
rnacentral:rRNA from 1 species